AACAGGAUUAGAUACCCUGGUAGUCCAUGCCGUAAACGAUGAGUGCUAGGUGUUGGAGGGUUUCCGCCCUUCAGUGCCGGAGCUAACGCAUUAAGCACUCCGCCUGGGGAGUACGACCGCAAGGUUGAAACUCAAAGGAAUUGAUGGGGGCCCGCACAAGCGGUGGAGCAUGUGGUUUAAUUCGAAGCUACGCGAAGAACCUUACCAGGUCUUGACAUCUUGCGCCAACCCUAGAGAUAGGGCGUUUCCUUCGGGAACGCAAUGACAGGUGGUGCAUGGUCGUCGUCGGCUCGUGUCGUGAGAUGUUGGGUUAAGUCCCGCAACGAGCGCAACCCUUGUUACUAGUUGCCAGCAUUAAGUUGGGCACUCUAGUGAGACUGCCGGUGACAAACCGGAGGAAGGUGGGGACGACGUCAGAUCAUCAUGCCCCUUAUGACCUGGGCUACACACGUGCUACAAUGGACGGUACAACGAGUCGCGAACUCGCGAGGGCAAGCAAAUCUCUUAAAACCGUUCUCAGUUCGGACUGCAGGCUGCAACUCGCCUGCACGAAGUCGGAAUCGCUAGUAAUCGCGGAUCAGCAUGCCGCGGUGAAUACGUUCCCGGGCCUUGUACACACCGCCCGUCACACCAUGAGAGUUUGUAACACCCAAAGUCGGUGGGGUAACCUUUUAGGAGCCAGCCGCCUAAGGUGGGACAGAUGAUUAGGGUGAAGUCGUAACAAGGUAACC
rnacentral:rRNA from 1 species